CAGCCCUCGCGCCUGCUCCGCACCCUCUGCACAGACUCCCACUUGGAGGUGGAGAAAGUCGCCGGCUGGGUGCAGGACUUGGUGGAAGCAGCCUGGGAGCGUUUGCCCCAGUGGCAUGACUGGAAGCUCCAGCUGCUGCCCUCCUCCCGCUCCUGCAGGCUCCUGCUGACCGGCCCCUGCCAGGUGCAGCUCUGCGCUGAGCUGCUCUUGGCGCUGCGGCAGGGCCGGCCAGGCAACUUCCUGGUGCUGGAAUAGGCACCUGCAGCUCUCCCACCUGCUGCUUUAGUCUGGGCUAGAGAUAGGGUAGGAUAGAGUAGGAUAGAGUAGGAUAAGAGUAGAGUAGGAUAGAUUAAGAAUGGGGUUAGAUUUUCCAAGGGCGGGUUUAGGCUGGGGUAGAGUUAGGCUAAGAUAGGUAGGAUAGGCCUCCCUCUUCUGCAUCUACUCCACAUGGGGUUGUAUUUUGCUCCCUUUCUGCUUCCAACUUGAAAAUAAAGAGAAAGGUUGAGCAGAGA